UCUCAGUCAGGUAUAAAACGGCUGCUCGCUCGGCACACAGCAUCAGUCACUCGCUCAGCUGAGUUCAAAGGAUUAUUUCAGCUCAAACAGCAACCAAACCCCUCAACCUCAAAACAAUGGCUUCCGUCAAGUUUGUCAUCCUCCUGGUCCUCAUCGCCGUCGCCAUGGUCGCUUCCCUGCCCAUGCCCGAACCUCUUUUCUUCGGACCUAAGCAUGAGCACAUCAUCGUGCACGUGCCCAAGCACAUCCACACCGUGAACCACCACAUCGUGCACAAGGUGCCCGUGGCCGUGCCCGUCUACAUCGAGAAGGACGUCCACGGUGGCUGGUGGUAAAUGCAAACAAUUUCCCCGUCGCAACUCCGGUCCACUGGCAGCCCUCGGAAGACAGACUGAACCUCCCUUCGAUACGAAUGAUUCAUCCCGAAAAUUCUCCCGCAACCAUAUACACCCAUCCUGCUGUAAAUUUGCCCUCAUCAUUGCCAGAAACCAGUCUGAUUUAUAAUUUGUAAAUAUUCUAUUCUGUGAAUUAUGUGAUUUUAUAGACAUACAAGUAUUUUUAAUAAAAAAAA